UUGAAGUCAGGCCACUUGUGCCACGGCUUGAGCAAACCGUGCUGCCUGUAGCUCCGCCCAAAACGGGAGGCGUAAAAAUCCCNAGGGAGGCCA
rnacentral:lncRNA from 1 species